GUGAUGAGUCGCUCCACCGCGGUGCCUUUCGGGGUGACGAGGAAAGUCCGGGCAACGCAGAGCACCCUGCUUCCUAACGGGAAGGACUGGCAAGUAUAAUGCGAACCAGGACAGCCAGUGCCACAGAAAACUACCGCCUACGUUGCCUUCGGGGGACCGGUAAGGGUGAAAAGGUGCGGUAAGAGCGCACCAGCGGGCGGGCAACCGUCCCGGCUGGGUAAACCUCAGGGGUUGAAAGACCAAAUAAGCGGAUACGCAGGCCUUCGGGCCGGCACCGGGCGGCUCGUCCGGCGUCCGUGGGUAGGUUGAUGGAGCCCUUCCGCGAGGACUGGCCUAGAUAAAUGGUGGAGACGUUGCCUUUCGGGGCAGCGGACAGAACCCGGCUUACAGACUCAUCACCCGU
rnacentral:RNase_P_RNA from 1 species